rnacentral:tRNA from 1 species
GCGGAUAUGAUGGAAUUGGCAGACAUAUCGGACUUAAAAUCCGAUGUCCUUGUGACGUGCAGGUUCAAGUCCUGCUAUCCGCAC